UACGGAAGGUCCGGGCGUUAUCCGGAUUUAUUGGGUUUAAAGGGAGCGUAGGCGGGAUGUCAAGCGUGCUGUGAAAAGCUGCGGCUCAACCGUAGUCGUGCAGCGCGAACUGGCUUCCUUGAGUGCGCGGGAGGCACGCGGAAUUCGUGGUGUAGCGGUGAAAUGCUUAGAUAUCACGAGGAACCCCGAUUGCGAAGGCAGCGUGCCGUAGCGUUACUGACGCUGAAGCUCGAAGGUGCGGGUAUCGAAC
rnacentral:rRNA from 1 species